rnacentral:rRNA from 1 species
CCUACGGGUGGCAGCAGUGAGGAAUAUUGGUCAAUGGUCGGGAGUCUGAACCAGCCAAGCCGCGUGAGGGAGGAAGGUACAGAGUAUCGUAAACCUCUUUUGUCAGGGAACAAAGGCGGGGACGUGUCCCCGGAUGAGUGUACCUGAAGAAAAAGCAUCGGCUAACUCCGUGCCAGCAGCCGCGGUAAUACGGAGGAUGCGAGCGUUAUCCGGAUUUAUUGGGUGUAAAUGGUGCGCAGGCGGUUUGGUAAGGCAGCGGUGAAAGCCCGGGGGUCAACCCCCGGCCCGCCGUUGAAACUGGCAGUCUCGAGUGGGAGAGAAGUAAGCGGAAUGCGCGGUGUAGCGGUGAAAUGCAUAGAUAUCGCGCAGAACACCGAUUGCGAAGGCAGCUUGCUGGCUCCACACUGACGCUGAGGCACGAAAGCGUGGGUAUCGAACAGGAUUAGAUACCCCAGUAGUC